AGAGAUCUGAUGGUUUUAUAAGGCAGUUUUCCCUGCUCUUGCUAGCUCUGUCUUUCCUGCUAUGAAGAAGUUCUUUGCUUCCCCUUUCCCUUCCACCAUGAUUGUAAGUUUCCUGAGGCCUCCUCAGCCAUCUGGAACUGUCUGGGCUUGAUGUUCACCGAUUUUCCCUCAGCUCCGACUGUGGCUCCUCUCAGCUGACUCUGACCCUGCUCUCAGCCGGGCUGCAUCUGCCCAUCUCAGCACAUCAAUAAACAGCAGAGGGAAACUACCACCUUGGAAGGAGCCAGGCAGUUUCUGCUGGGUAGGCCGCAGCCUGGAACAUGGAAGUAGCUUCUUCCAUCCUACACUGGAAACCACCCAGCAUCCCGGGCCCUCCAGAGAAGAGCCAGACUCCCUUCCCUGGGAAGAGACUAUAGUCCUAUCUGUAUCCUCCGUGGUCAUUGCCCCUCAGUCACAGCAAUGAAGAGCAAAUUACCUGUUUUCUGUAUGUUCCUCUGACAACAACUGCCACAGAGUAAAUAUGAAAGGUUCUGGAUGAUUCCUUGUCAGCUUUUAUUAAAAUUCCACAUACUUGGCAUUUCUUAGCUAUCUGGGUUGACUCCUGGUUCCACCCCUUACUAGUUGCGUGACCUUGAAAAAGUGACUUACCUUCUCACAUUCUCAGUUUCCAUAUCUGUCAAGUGUAGGUAAAAGCACCAAACUGGUAGAGUUAUUUUGAGAAUUAUAUGAGUUCUGAGUGAGAGGGUGCUAAGACCUUGCUGGUUAGAGUGGUUUUUCAAUCCUGAUCACCUCCUUCUCCCUCUUAGCUUCUUUUCUCCUCCCCCUCCUGCUUCUAGUCUAGGCUUCUGGCAAUUUUGACGUAACAAAAGUGGGAUUCCUUCAUUCCUGACUUCAGAGCUUUUCCUUACUUCAGUAUUGCAUGAUAAUUCUCAAGCCUGUUCUUUACAUAAAUACAAAAAGGAGAAAGUGAAAUAGUAGAGGAACCGACCGAUUUGAAGGAGCUGCCACUAUUUGAUUCCUCCUGUUAGGACAUCUGAAUGACCCCAAGUUCCUGUUCUUGAGGCUGUUGUAUCAUAUUCUUAAAAGCUAUGCAUGCAUUCUGCUUUGAAUGUGUCCCUCAGCCUCAUUCUUCUCCACUUGCUGGGGGCCAUCCCGCCCCACGGGAAGGUAAGUUCAGGCUCAGAAGGAAAGACACGACAAAAAAAUCUUGCUUUUAUUUUUGUUGUCUAAAAUCAUGUUUCAUGCUCUUCUUUGAAUAAAAUCCAGGACUCCAGA
rnacentral:lncRNA from 1 species